GCUGUGUUGGGAAAAUCAGGUGUAUGUAAUUAUAUGUAAAUUUGGCCACACCCACAUUUGAGUUGUGAGUGGACUGGAGGCAUGCUGCCCAAGAUGGCUGACUUUGAAGACUAUUUUCUGUUCAUAUUGGAUAACUACUUCAGGAUUUAUGUUUGGCCCUGUAGCAUAACGGAGAAAUUGGAGUUACACCAGCUGUGGAUAAAUGGACUUCUAUGCUUCCUGUUGGACGUUGGUCGAGUUCUCUUGAUCUACUUCACCACCUCAGUCCAUAGCGGUUGUCUGCAGAUGUAAUUGAACAGAAAGUUGUACCGUAUGGAAGAACAAAGUGUCAAAACCUCAUCAGGUUUGCUGCAGUGGAUCAAAGUUGCACUUGGUACUUAGUACUUUGAAAUCACUGGAGCAGCUCCGUGAAAGUCGCGCGGGUCAGGCGCCUGCCCGGACUUACAAGUGGGUAGGAUAUAUGAUGUCAUCACCCGUCUCGUGGCUAAGAGACUGGCUACUGGUGAAUGAUGUCAACCUUCACGUCAUCACAAGUCCAUUAAGAGUUCACCGUGGGUCCAAAGACCUAUUGUAUUUCCAGUUCAAUCAUCGGC
ensembl:lncRNA